rnacentral:rRNA from 1 species
UACAGAGGGGGCAAGCGUUGUUCGGAAUUACUGGGCGUAAAGGGCGCGUAGGCGGCCUGUUAAGUCGAACGUGAAAUCCCCAGGCUUAACCUGGGAACUGCAUUCGAGACUGCACUGCUAGAGUAUGGGAGAGGGAAGUGGAAUUUCCGGUGUAGCGGUGAAAUGCGUAGAUAUCGGAAGGAACAUCAGUGGCGAAAGCGACUUCCUGGACCAAUACUGACGCUCAUGUGCGAAAGCGUGGGGAGCAAACAGG